CAGUAGCCGCGGGAAUACGGAGGGCGCGAGCGUUACCCGGAUUUACUGGGCGUAAAGGGCGUGUAGGCGGCCUGGGCGUCCCAUGUGAAAGGCCACGGCUCAACCGUGGAGGAGCGUGGGAUACGCUCAGGCUAGAGGGUGGGAGAGGGUGGUGGAAUUCCCGGAGUAGCGGUGAAAUGCGCAGAUACCGGGAGGAACGCCGAUGGCGAAGGCAGCCACCUGGUCCACUUCUGACGCUGAGGCGCGAAAGCGUGGGGAGCAAACCGGAUUAGAUACCCGUGUAGUCCCUGUCUCUUAUACA
rnacentral:rRNA from 1 species